AUCUUCGUGGUCGAAUGGUAAGAUUAUUUGCCUCUCAUCCUGGAGUCCCGGGUUCGAUCCCCGGUCGAGGAUC